rnacentral:rRNA from 1 species
UUGGGGUUUCGGCCUCAAGGGAGUGGCGGACGGGUGAGUAGCGCGUGGGAACCUGCCCCUUUGUGGGGGAUAACCGAGGGAAACUUCGGCUAAUACCGCAUGCGCCCCGGCGCGAGCCGGGGGAAAGAUUUAUCGCAGAGGGAGGGGCCCGCGUCGGAUUAGGUAGUUGGUGGGGUAACGGCCUACCAAGCCUGUGAUCCGUAGCUGGUCUGAGAGGAUGAUCAGCCACACUGGGACUGAGACACGGCCCAGACUCCUACGGGAGGCAGCAGUGGGGAAUAUUGGACAAUGGGCGCAAGCCUGAUCCAGCAAUGCCGCGUGAGUGAUGAAGGCCUUAGGG